rnacentral:rRNA from 1 species
CCUACGGGUCGCAGCAGUGGGGAAUAUUGCACAAUGGGCGCAAGCCUGAUGCAGCCAUGCCGCGUGUAUGAAGAAGGCCUCCGGGUUGUAAAGUACUUUCGGCGAGGAGGAAGGCAUUAAGGUUAAUAACCUUGGUGAUUGACGUUACUCGCAGAAGAAGCACCGGCUAACUCCGUGCCAGCAGCCGCGGUAAUACGGAGGGUGCAAGCGUUAAUCGGAAUUACUGGGCGUAAAGCGCACGCAGGCGGUCUGUCAAGUCGGAUGUGAAAUCCCCGGGCUCAACCUGGGAACUGCAUUCGAAACUGGCAGGCUAGAGUCUUGUAGAGGGGGGUAGAAUUCCAUGUGUAGCGGUGAAAUGCGUAGAGAUGUGGAGGAAUACCGGUGGCGAAGGCGGCCCCCUGGACAAAGACUGACGCUCUGGUGCGAAAGCGUGGGGAGCAAACAGGAUUAGAUACCCCUGUAGUC